rnacentral:rRNA from 1 species
CAAGCCUAACACAUGCAAGUCGAGCGGAUGACGGGAGCUUGCUCCUUGAUUCAGCGGCGGACGGGUGAGUAAUGCCUAGGAAUCUGCCUGGUAGUGGGGGACAACGUUUCGAAAGGAACGCUAAUACCGCAUACGUCCUACGGGAGAAAGCAGGGGACCUUCGGGCCUUGCGCUAUCAGAUGAGCCUAGGUCGGAUUAGCUAGUUGGUGAGGUAAUGGCUCACCAAGGCGACGAUCCGUAACUGGUCUGAGAGGAUGAUCAGUCACACUGGAACUGAGACACGGUCCAGACUCCUACGGGAGGCAGCAGUGGGGAAUAUUGGACAAUGGGCGAAAGCCUGAUCCAGCCAUGCCGCGUGUGUGAAGAAGGUCUUCGGAUUGUAAAGCACUUUAAGUUGGGAGGAAGGGCAGUAAGUUAAUACCUUGCUGUUUUGACGUUACCGACAGAAUAAGCACCGGCUAACUCUGUGCCAGCAGCCGCGGUAAUACAGAGGGUGCAGCGUUAAUCGGGAAUUACCUGGGGCGGUNAAAGACGCGCGUAAGUGGGGUUGGGUAAGUUGGGUUUUGAAAAGCCCCGGGGGCUCCAACCUUGGNAACCUUGCGUCCGANAUU